UGAUAUAUACAUGAGGCCUUAGGUUGGAACCGACCAAUCUUCGUUCCCAAAAAUAAUAUAUUUCGGAAUGUGGAGAAUUUUAUAUAAAGUAUUAGAUAAAGUAAACAAUGAAACCAUUAAUUAUGUUUAAAUACCAAGUGACGGAGCGCCGAGCGCUAGCGUAGUAUGAGAGAGGCAAUUUUUUUUUUUUUUUGCCAAUCUUUUGGAGAAUGGAGCGGGAGAAUC
rnacentral:lncRNA from 1 species